rnacentral:rRNA from 1 species
AUUGAACGCUGGCGGCAUGCCUUACACAUGCAAGUCGAACGGCAGCACGGGAGCUUGCUCCUGGUGGCGAGUGGCGAACGGGUGAGUAAUACAUCGGAACGUACCCUGAAGUGGGGGAUAACGUAGCGAAAGUUACGCUAAUACCGCAUAUUCUGUGAGCAGGAAAGAGGGGGGAUCGCAAGACCUCUUGCUUUAGGAGCGGCCGACGUCGGAUUAGCUAGUUGGUGAGGUAAAGGCUCACCAAGGCGACGAUCCGUAGCGGGUCUGAGAGGAUGAUCCGCCACACUGGGACUGAGACACGGCCCAGACUCCUACGGGAGGCAGCAGUGGGGAAUUUUGGACAAUGGGCGCAAGCCUGAUCCAGCCAUGCCGCGUGAGUGAAGAAGGCCUUCGGGUUGGUAAAGAC